CUGAUGCAAUUCCCACUUGCUGGCGGAAGUGAAGAACAGAAACAUUUGAGAGUUCACAGUCUAGAGAUUUAUCCACCGAAGGAAACAGAAACCUGAGGCAAGUUCUUCAGAACCUUGGUGAACUCACAGCCUGGUGUGGAAGAGGAGCCGCUGGGGAUUGUAGCGAAACCAAAGCAGAUCGGCAGCAGCUGAAUCAGUGAGGAAGGGAUUGCAGUCGAUGUAAUGCAAGAAGGAGCAUUACAUGGGACUCUCCACACCCGAUCAUAGCCAAAAGGCCGAGAAGCAAUACCUGGGACUCUACAGAUUAUAAUUCCUGGGAG